rnacentral:rRNA from 1 species
AUUGAACGCUGGCGGCAUGCCUUACACAUGCAAGUCGAACGGUAACAGGUCUUCGGAUGCUGACGAGUGGCGAACGGGUGAGUAAUACAUCGGAACGUGCCCGAUCGUGGGGGAUAACGCAGCGAAAGCUGUGCUAAUACCGCAUACGAUCUACGGAUGAAAGCGGGGGAUCGCAAGACCUCGCGCGGACGGAGCGGCCGAUGGCAGAUUAGGUAGUUGGUGGGAUAAAAGCUUACCAAGCCGACGAUCUGUAGCUGGUCUGAGAGGACGACCAGCCACACUGGGACUGAGACACGGCCCAGACUCCUACGGGAGGCAGCAGUGGGGAAUUUUGGGCAAUGGGGGCAACCCUGACCCAGCGACGCCGCGUGAGGGAAGACGGCCUCGGUUGUAACCUACUUUGUUACGGAAGAAGGACGUGACGGUACCGUGCGAAUAAGUCCGGCUAACUACGUG